UUAUGCCAUCUGUGUUGCUGGAACCUAAAUCAUAUUUGUAGGGAAGAAGGAUGAAGAGGGAGAUAUUUAUGCUUUCCACUGUUCCAUGGCAAAGAGUCAGGAGGAGGCCCUGUGUCCAGAAGGACGUCCUGAGGAAACAGAGCUGUAAGGAGCACGAACAUGUAGUAGCAUAUAUAAGGCUGUUUUACAGAGUUGGAAGGGACAAGAAAACAGAAAAGUGAAGAGGAAGACAUGUGAAGACCAUGAUUGCUUCCCCUUCACCCUUCCACCUUUGUAAGUUUCCUGAGGCCUCCCCAGAAGCAGAAGCCUGCAUAGUCUGCAGAACUGUGAGCCAAUUAAAACUCUUUUCUUUAUAAAUUACUCUGGCC